rnacentral:lncRNA from 10 species
GAAAAUUCCUCCUUUGCGGAAAUGUCCGUAGAAACGCACCUUUUUUUUUUCCUGCCAGGACAAACCGCCGGCGAUAUCCGUUCAUGUGAAAGUGUUUACUAACAUUCUCUGAAGACUCACUGGGUUCUCAGCUCGAGAACGUUCCUGUCACAAGACGUUUAGGAGGCAGGAUGCCGGUACAAUGUAUUUAUGUUCUUGUAAACUGUUGCAUUAACAGUGCACUUCAAGUGGGCACAUUUGUCGUUGGAUUUUUUACCAACUCGAGCUUGGACUUUAGGACGGGGAAAAGAAGUGCUAAAUGUUUUUGAAUAAAACCUUUACUGCACAUGAUAAACAUCCCUUAAAAAUUACCUAGGAGCACCCUAAAUUUUAAAAUGAUCACAAAGACCUGGACAGAUUACAGUAAACCUUCAACAUCGCUAAACACACGUACCAUAAAUCAAAAGAAACACACUGCUAAUGAUCCGUUUUUUGAUGUGGAAAUAUCAUGCUGUUUUUAAGGGAAAUUAUACUUUAUUGCGAUGUUUUAUUUCAAAACAAGAUGUUACACUUUAUUUCCUAUAAUUUUAUUUACAAUAUUUUACACCCGUUAAGCAAAAAUCCCCCUACAUUGCUAUUCUGUUUUUUUUUAAUCAGUUCACUACUGUAGUAUCUUUUUGUUCUCCAUAUAUUUUUGAAAAAUACGCAAAAGAGUUCUGCAGAACUUAUCAGGUUGGACUCUGUGAAGCCUGCAGGCCAGAAUUGCUAAGGUGACAAAAAAGCAAAAAAAAAGUCAACUUCUCCUCUCUCUAGGAAGUCUGUCCCAGGAAGUUUUCAAACCUCUCUUGGCCAGAGAACAUCAGUGGGAGUGAUUGGAGGCCCUGGAUGGGAAGUCCCGCCAAGCUGGAACAGCUGAGCCAUCCAAACAGCAAGGAUGACAACCUUCCCUUUCUCCUAAGAACUCUGCCCCAUUCAAGCUUGGCCCAACACUGUUGCCAGGGGCUGGCUGGAAUUCCAAGCUGAUUUCAAACAUUUAGGUUCAAGGGAUGCAGAUGCAGGUUUGUUACAUGGAUAAACUGCAAGUUGUGUAGAUUUGGUGCACAGAUUAUCUUGUUACCCAAAUAAUGAGCACAGUAUGCUGUAAGCAGUUUUCUUUGCUCAGCCUCUUCUGGCCCUCCACCCUGAAGUAGAUCCUGUGUCCAUUAUUGUCUUAUUUCCAUGUGUACUCAGUUUUAAGCUUAUACAUGUAAGUGAGAACAUGCUAUUUGGUUCUCUCUUCCUGUGUUAAUUUGCUUAGGAUAAUGCCUUCCAGCUGCAUCCAUGUUGCUGCAAAGGACAUAAUUUUAUUCUUUUUUUAUGCUGUCUGGUAUUCCAUUGUGCAUAUAUUUAUUUUUAUGUAUGUACUUUUUAAAUUCAGCUUACUGUUAAUGGACACCUGGGUUAAUUUCAUGUCUUUGCUAGUACAAAUAGUGCAGUAAUGAACAUAUGUGUAUAUGUAUUUCUAUCAUAGAAUAAUUUCCAUUUCUUUGAGUAUAUGCUGAGCAGUGGGAUUGCUGGGUCAAAGUUAGUUUUGUUCUAAGUUACUUGGGAAAUCGUCAAACAAAUUUCCACAAUGCCUAAAGUAAUUUACAUAAUCAGUAGCGGUGUAUAAAUGUUCCUUUUUCUCCACAACCUUGCCAGUAUCUGUUAUUUCUUGGUAUUUUAGUAAUAGCCAUUCUGACUUGUGUGAGAUUACCUCUCGUUGUGUUUUGAUUUGUAAUUCUCUAAUAACUAAUGAUGUUGAACAUUUUUAUAUGCUGGUUGGCUGCAUGUAUGUAUUAUUUAUAGAAGUGUCUGUAUAUGUCCUUUGCCCAUUUUUAAUGGGAUUGUUUUCUGUGAGUUAAUUUCUUUUUUUUUUCUUUUUUUUUUUUUUUUCUUUUGAGAUGGGGUGUCACUCUCGUUGCCCAAGCUGGAGUGCAAUGGCGUGAUCUUGGCUCACCACAGCCUCCACCUCCUGGGUUCCUCCUGCCUCAGCCUCCCGAGUAGCUGGGAUUACAGGCAUAUACCACCAUGCCUGGCUAUUUUUUUUUUAUACUUUUAGUAGAGACGGG